UAGUGCCAGGGCUCCCACUGCUGACAAAACCUAUUGCCGUCUCCAUCAGUUCGCUUUUCCCAUGAGCCACUGCGCAACGCUUUCUUACACAGCAAGAAAGCAAAUCGUGACUCUUCCCAUUAUUAACGCCAUCAUUUCUAAUACAGAUCAAUUGAUCCCAAUUACAAACACGUUUCCGAGCCGGAACAAGCACUUUACAUUUUGCUUUCCAUGUGCAACAGGCCGUUAGCGCCACACUCACUACCACACAAAAACAACAAGUCCCAGUCACAGACUGCGUGUUUUUUGUUUUGCACUUCUUCGGCAGUGUGCGAUUUGGGACGUAGCCUGAAUUUCGCGGGAGAAAGUUGCGGAAGGAAAAUACCUGAGGUGUCAUUUAAUGCGGAAGGGGAUUUAUCGCACCGCUGUGCUCAUACAAAAGGAGCAAAUCAUGGGGCUGGAAAACGAAUUACAGUUCUGCUCUUAUCGUCUCUGAACCUGCUCCGUACCUACAGAAACACAAAAGCCACACGUCCCCCGGUGUUCAGCCGGCUGGAUAAGAAUGACUGUUGGCAUCAGGAGCCAGUGAGCGUAUGAAAUAUGAAACACGUUUCCCAGUGGUGAGACAGCCGGGCCUCCCAGCCGCACGCCUGCAGGCAGGACUUCAGGAAAAGUCACAUUUGUCUGUCAGUUUGAACCAGAAUACAGAAGCAAAGAAUGGACUGAUGAAGAAUGAGCCAGAAUGGAGAGAGAGAGAGAGAGAGAAACAGGAAUGCCUGGUGCUGAAGCAGAUUAGAACAGCCCAGAGCGAAUAAAAAUUAGCGGUAUCGUUGCAAGAAAUAUCUUCCCAUGCUUACCGAAAUUGAAUGUCUGUGUUGGCAAUUGACAAUGCCAUUUGUUCAAGGACUUGAAGUGUCUGGAAAUGUGACAGUGACAGAUCUGUGCAUCACUGACAAGAAGACUUUCCACAUCAACCCUGCAGUCCUGGAAAUGUUUUUCUGUCUGCGAUGAAUUGGAAGAAAGGACCAAGACACUGGAAGGACCUCAUGGCCAGAAGUCACCGAUGUGUGUCUGACCAGUUGCAGAGCGGGGACAGAUGGAGCGGGAGAAGUGAGGGAUUAGAAUGGUAUUCCGUCCACGCUGAGAGGCUCGGCCUUGAGAACAUGGAAGCUGUGACUUCAGCGGUUGCCGCCACUCCUACUUGCUUGUAUUCUGACAGUGACUGCUGUAUGUUCAGCAUAAUUGGAAGAAGAGAGAAUAAAUUGUUGAAGAACUGAAGAAACACAUCAUGUCCGACCUUCAUCAGCUCUGAAGGCGACUUCCUGUAGUUCAGCGUAAUUGAAAGAAGAGAGGAUAAAUCGUUUAUGGAGGAGACGGAGCGGUCAGUGACCUGGCCCCCGGCUGGUUGGAUGGAUCGUGGGGUAAAAGCAGGGAGCCCAUGCCUGGGACGGAGCCUUCAGCCUGGG